rnacentral:rRNA from 1 species
AUUGAACGCUGGCGGAAUGCUUUACACAUGCAAGUCGAACGGCAGCACGGACUUCGGUCUGGUGGCGAGUGGCGAACGGGUGAGUAAUGUAUCGGAACGUGCCCAGUCGUGGGGGAUAACGUAGUGAAAAUUACGCUAAUACCGCAUACGAUCUAUGGAUGAAAGCGGGGGAUCGCGAGACCUCGCGCGAUUGGAGCGGCCGAUAUCAGAUUAGGUAGUUGGUGGGGUAAAGGCCCACAAAGCCAAAGAUCUUUAGCUAGUCUGAGAGGACGACCAGCCACACUGGAACUGAGACACGGUCCAGAAUCCUACGGGAGGCAGCAGUGGGGAAUUUUGGACAAUGGGCGAAAGCCUGAUCCAGCCAUUCCGCGUGCAGGAUGAAGGCCCUCGGGUUGUAAACUGCUUUUGUACAGAACGAAAAGGUUUCUACUAAUACUAGGAGCUCAUGACGGUACUGUAAGAAUAAGCACCGGCUAACUACGUGCCAGCCGCCGCGGUAA